CGAUUUGCAAAUGUCGCGAAAUACUUUUACACAUUCGGCGGGCUGAAUCUGAAAUGUGAUUUCCGAGCUAUAUACCGACUGGCAAAAAUGAAAGUCUACAACACGAAGUAUUCCCAGGCGGUCACCCAUCCAAGUACUAACUUCGCCCGACCAGGCUUAACUUCGGUGAUCAGACGAGAACCGGUGUUUUCCUGGUGGUAUGGUCGUAGACGUUGGAUGUUUCUAAAAUAUUGCUUUUAUAGGUAACGAUUUGCAAAUGUCGCGAAAUACUUUUACACAUUCUGCGGGCUGAAUCUGAAAUGCGAUUUCCGAGCUGCAUAUCGACUGGCAAAAAGUCUACAACACGAAGUAUUCCCAGGCGGUCACCCAUCCAAGUACUAACUUUGCCCGACCAGGCUUAACUUCGGUGAUCAGACGAGAACCGGUGUUUUCCUGGUGGUAUGGUCGUAGACGUUGGAUGUUUCUAAAAUAUUGCUUUUAUAGGUAACGAUUUGCAAAUGUCGCGAAAUACUUUUACACAUUCUGCGGGCUGAAUCUGAAAUGUGAUUUCCGAGCUAUA